ACACAUGCAAGUCGAACGGAACUUCUUUAAAGGAUUUCUUCGGAAUGAAUUUGAUUAAGUUUAGUGGCGGACGGGUGAGUAACGCGUGAGUAACCUGCCUCUAAGAGGGGAAUAACAUUCUGAAAAGAAUGCUAAUACCGCAUAACAUAUAUUUAUCGCAUGGUAGAUAUAUCAAAGAUUUAUCGCUUAGAGAUGGACUCGCGUCCGAUUAGUUAGUUGGUGAGGUAACGGCUCACCAAGACCGCGAUCGGUAGCCGGACUGAGAGGUUGAACGGCCACAUUGGGACUGAGACACGGCCCAGACUCCUACGGGAGGCAGCAGUGGGGGAUAUUGCGCAAUGGGGGAAACCCUGACGCAGCAACGCCGCGUGAAGGAUGAAGGUCUUCGGAUUGUAAACUUCUUUUAUUAAGGACGAAGAAAGUGACGGUACUUAAUGAAUAAGCUCCGGCUAACUACGUGCCAGCAGCCGCGGUAAUACGUAGGGAGCAAGCGUUGUCCGGAUUUACUGGGUGUAAAGGGUGCGUAGGCGGCUUCGCAAGUCAGAUGUGAAAUCUAUGGGCUCAACCCAUAGCCUGCAUUUGAAACUGCAGAGCUUGAGUGAAGUAGAGGCAGGCGGAAUUCCCCGUGUAGCGGUGAAAUGCGUAGAGAUGGGGAGGAACACCAGUGGCGAAGGCGGCCUGCUGGGCUUUAACUGACGCUGAGGCACGAAAGCGUGGGUAGCAAACAGGAUUAGAUACCCUGGUAGUCCACGCUGUAAACGAUGAUUACUAGGUGUGGGGGGUCUGACCCCUUCCGUGCCGGAGUUAACACAAUAAGUAAUCCACCUGGGGAGUACGGCCGCA
rnacentral:rRNA from 1 species